GUUGAGAUAAAGACAAGAGGAGGUGGAGAGGUUAAGGGCUAUUGGGGAGUGUGCGCAGGAGAUAGACUGGUGGAGCAACUCCCUGCCAGGCCUGAAAGAAAGGCACCGGGGU